rnacentral:rRNA from 1 species
UACGAAGGGGGCGAGCGUUGUUCGGAAUUACUGGGCGUAAAGCGCACGUAGGCGGAUUUGUAAGUCAGGGGUGAAAUCCCGGGGCUCAACCUCGGAACUGCCUUUGAUACUGCAAAUCUCGAGUCCGGAAGAGGUGAGUGGAAUUCCUAGUGUAGAGGUGAAAUUCGUAGAUAUUAGGAAGAACACCAGUGGCGAAGGCGGCUCACUGGUCCGGUACUGACGCUGAGGUGCGAAAGCGUGGGGAGCAAACAGG